rnacentral:snRNA from 1 species
AUACUUACCUGGACCAAGUCAAAGGGCAUUCAAGAAGGCCCAUGGCCUAGGUUGGCAGCCGUCAUUGCACACGGAAGGGGUGCCUGCUUAAAGUUGGUCCAAGUAUUCGAGCCUAUGUCAUAACUUGUGCUAGAGGGGGUCUGCUUUUGCGUAGCCCCUAA